GCAGAAAUUAGUUAGGGUUUUAUCAUACAUAUACACACAUAAAUUAAAAACAAUUUGCAAAUGAAUUGAACGAAGCUGCGUUAGCAAACACUUUGCUGACGAAAAUUGAGAUUUGGUAGUGGUAGUAGCAGUGGAGAGAACAACACACAAGGAAUCAAUGUUGUACACACAGUAGCAUUGCAUCGGAACAACAUUACAACGGCAACAUGGCGACGCAAACGGAUAAACGAAAACUUAUCGGUUUUCCAGAAAAAGUAUUCGGAACAACAAAUCGGACACAUCAAAUGUCGAAGAAGAAUAUGGACACAUUUUUAGUUCUUACACUGGGAAUCGUUCACAAACCGACCACAAACGAUGUCAGAACCUGGAAAAUAUGAAUACAAAGGAUCGUUUCUUAGUUUGCCCCAACUAUAUACAAUAUGAAUAUGAAUACAAAGGAUCGUUUCUUAGUUUCCCCAACUACGAACCGGUCCGCUAUCGUGUUCUUUUCGGCAACCAUACAAACACACUGAGCAAUAGACCAAUACCAUAAAUCGGUGAAUAUGAAUACAAAGGAUCAUUUUCUAGUUUGCCCCAACUAUGAACCGGUCCACAAUCGUAUUCUUCCCCGGUACAAAUAAAAUGAAUAUCCUCCCCGGCCGUCUCCCGUAGUUUACUCCGUCUACGAGACCGAUUGAUAUAUUAAUGGUGAUAUUUUUUUUCCUUCCAUUCUUUUUUUUAAAUUGAAAUAGGCCUUGGCACUAAGUGCUAUUUUAUAGUAAGUAUUUUGUUUUUGUUUUUCUUCCACAGCAGAACGCGAUUCUUAACACUACUACCAAAUCUCAAAUUAAAGCAAUGUUGUUGCAAAUGUGUGACGAUUACUUUACUCUUAAAUUAUACAUAAUUGAUUUUCAUUAUAUGUUUCCAUUACUUCCAUUACGUUCCAUUACAUAUUGAUUAAUUUCCAUUAUUUCCAUUAUUUCCAUUCUUUGUGAUUAA